GGUUGCGUGGCCCAGUGGUUAAGGCAUCUGCUUUACAUACAGAAGCUUCAUUUUCACCCGAGAUCGGAGCAAUAACAUCUGAAAUGUACGCAGAGGAUCGCAGGUUCGAGCCCUGCCGCGAUCA